rnacentral:rRNA from 1 species
GAUCCUGGCUCAGGAUGAACGCUAGCUACAGGCUUAACACAUGCAAGUCGAGGGGCAGCAUUUCAGUUUGCUUGCAAACUGAAGAUGGCGACCGGCGCACGGGUGAGUAACACGUAUCCAACCUGCCGAUAACUCGGGGAUAGCCUUUCGAAAGAAAGAUUAAUAUCCGAUGGUAUAAUUAGACCGCAUGGUCUUGUUAUUAAAGAAUUUCGGUUAUCGAUGGGGAUGCGUUCCAUUAGGCUAGG